GACGAACGCUGGCGGCGUGCUUAACACAUGCAAGUCGAACGGUAAGGCCCUUCGGGGUACACGAGUGGCGAACGGGUGAGUAACACGUGGGUGAUCUGCCCUGCACUUCGGGAUAAGCCUGGGAAACUGGGUCUAAUACCGGAUAGGACCACUGCCUGCAUGGGUGGUGGUGGAAAGCUUUUGCGGUGUGGGAUGGGCCCGCGGCCUAUCAGCUUGUUGGUGGGGUGAUGGCCUACCAAGGCGACGACGGGUAGCCGGCCUGAGAGGGUGACCGGCCACACUGGGACUGAGAUACGGCCCAGACUCCUACGGGAGGCAGCAGUGGGGAAUAUUGCACAAUGGGCGAAAGCCUGAUGCAGCGACGCCGCGUGAGGGAUGAAGGUCUUCGGAUUGUAAACCUCUUUCAGUAGGGACGAAGCGAAAGUGACGGUACCUAAAGAAGAAGCACCGGCUAACUACGUGCCAGCAGCCGCGGUAA
rnacentral:rRNA from 1 species